GUCAUAGACCCCACGGCUGAAGCCGGGGGCUUGCCUUCCGGGUUUCAGCCGUAGGCCUUAAGGCCUGGCUAUGACCAGCCUCGGGGCCGGACCUGAAGGACAAGGGGAUGAAGGCACUACGUUGGCAGCGGGUCCAGGACCCACUCCGGGAUGCUCUUCCAGUUCCGGACCCUGGAAGCCCCGGCUGCAGACAGCCAUCGGGGUAAGGGCGAAACGGGCCGGGGCGAGCGCCGGCUGCCAACAUUGGCGAGGAGGGUGCCGGGGAGAGUCCG
rnacentral:sRNA from 1 species